GCAUUCACCUGGCACCAGUUUCAGGGCCUCACCCAAGCUUUGCAGGGGAAAGCACAGAGGGAGGAAUUACACUGAAAAAAUGCAAGCAAAGGUUGAGUACCCCCAGGUGCCCCUUAGGAAGGAACCAGGUUUAAAUAGGCUCUACCCUUACCUUUCCCAGCAGCAAGUUCAGGGGAAGAGGCCUACUCUUAGCCCUGGCUAGCGUGACCCUCUUCCUGUCCUAAGACUUUGGUCCUACCACCUCUUGUUUCAUCUUUCCUUUACAUUGCUGGGGGUUACCGCAGGUGCCUACCCCAGGGCUUCACCAUAUGGGCCAUUAAUAGCUCUACUAAAACUGACUUCUAGAUGCGAGAAGAGGGAAGUUGGAGAGGGAAAAGUUAGCCCAGAAGGAAAGCAUUUUCUGCAGAUCAGCCUGAAUCCACCGUGGCUAGGCAUAUUCUUGCUCUUCUCGUGUUGCUCACAACUACCUGCCUGGAUGAAUUUAGGAAAGUUGCAGGAUACAACGUUAAAACACACGAUCAAAUGAACAAUCCGAAAAUGUUAUUAAGAAAACAGUUCCGGCCGGGCGUGGUGGCUCAUGCCUGAAAUCCCAGCACUUUGGGAGGCCGAGGCAGGUGGAUCACGAGGUCAGGAGAUCAAGACCAUCCUGGCUAACACGGUGAAACCCUAUCUCUACUAAAAAUACAAAAAAAUUAGCCAGGUGUGGUGGCAUGCACCAGUAGUCCCAGCUACUCGGGAGGCUGAGGCAGGAGAAUUGCUUGAACCUGGAAGGCAGAGAUUGCAGUGAGCUGAGACCGCACCACUGCACUCCAGCCUGGGCAACAGAGUGAGACUCUGUCUCAAAAAGAAAG
rnacentral:sRNA from 1 species